CAUCAUUUGACCUGGCCUCCACAAUCACCCGACCUCAACCCAAUUGAGAUGGUUUGGACCGCAGAGUGAUGGAAAAGCAGCCAACAAGUGCUCAGCAUAUGUGGGAACUCCUUUAAGACUGUUGGAAAAGCAUUCCAGGUGAAGCUUGUUGAGUGAAUGCCAAGAGUGUGCAAAGCUGUCAUCAAGGCAAAAGAUCCUCUCAAGCUCUGUCAGGUUGGAUGGGGAGCGAAGGUGCGCACAGGACCUCAGACUGGGGGUGAAGGUUCACCUUCCAACAGGACAAUGACCCAAAGCACACAGCUAAGAAAACUCAUGAGUGGCUUCGGGACAAGUCUCUGAAUGUCCUUGAGUGGCCCAGUCAGAGCCCUGACUUGAACAUGAUCGAAACAUCUCUGGAGAGACCUGAAAAUACCUAAGGUGCUUCAACAAAGUACUGAGAAAAGGGUCUGAAUACUUAUGUAAAUGUGAUAUUAAAUUUUUUUGCAAACAUUUGCUUUGUCAUUAUGGGUAUUGUUUGUAGAUUGAUGAGGAUAUAUAUUUUUUAUCCAUUUUAGAAUAAGGCUGUAACGUAACAAAAUGUGGAAAGUCAAGGGCUCUGAAUACUUUCUGAAUGCACUGUAUAUCCCACUGGGCACACACUGGUUGAAUCAACAUUGUUUUCAUGUAAUUUCAAUGUAAUUUCAAUGAAAUUGCGUUAAACCAACAUGGAAUAGACAUUGAAUUGACAUCUGUGCCCAGUGGGAUAGUGCUACAUAAUUUUAUCUUAGGUCAUUGCUGCAAAUGAUGCCAAGAAAACCUUAAUGAUCUCUAAUGACUACUAAGACAUAUGAAUCCGAUAUAUUAAAACAAGACAUACUGUACCAAGGUUAAUAAAGUACUAUCUUAUCUUAAGGUUAGUGAGGUCAUUGCUGCAAAUGAUCUCAAGAAAACAUCUAUUACGACCUGUUAGCGUAACUGUUCCGCUUGCGGCUUUCUUAAGAGCACUAACUUGUAUUUUUUGCAAACAAGAAAAGCUAGCACUUCGGCUGCACGGGUGGUGGUAUUUCAAGCUAAAGAGUAAGUUUAACCAAUUCAACUUGGUUACAUAAGGUAAUUUUGCCCUGAAGCUCAUUGGCUAACAGCAGCAUGAUAAAACAAGCAACUGUGGUACAUCUUGACAUCAUUAUGUAGAUAAGAUCUUGAAUUCACCAGAUAGCGGGUCCACCAGGGUUCUUUAGGGUUAUUGAUGGCCAGCCAGGUUCUGUGAUUGUGCAGGUUUCGGUAGGACACAUACAGCAUUUGGAAGCUGUGAAUUGGCAUAACCCAUUUAAAAAACAGGGAUGGAAGAAGGUCACUGUAAAAACACAAAAGAUGUUCCAUAUUUAGUAUUGCCUUUCUUGGUUCUGCACAUAGGCCCACUGUAUUUAUUUUGUCAUAUUUUAAAAUCCCAAAAUAUGUAUCUUAAAGGGGAAGUUUAUAUUUUAAGGUCCAAUGCAGCUGUUUUUAUCUCCAUAUCAAUCAUUUCUGGGUAACAAUACAGUAACUUACUGUGAUUGUUUCCAAUUAAAAUUGUCAUCAAAAAGAUCCAUUUCUCAAGCAAGAAUGUUGCUAAGACUGUCUGGGAGUGGUCUGAGUGGGAAGGGAAACUGAAAAAUAGCUGUUAUUGGCAGAGAAGUUUGGAACUCGCUUUCUUAUUGGUCUGUUAUCUAAUUUACCGCCUGUGUGAUGUCACCAGGCAGGCCAAAUCUCCAUCCCAGAUAAACAGACUAAAAUUUCAGGUGGUCUUUUCAAACAGCUCUUAAACUAAAAGGGUAUUAUCAUAAUUUAAACAAUUUCACAGUAUUAUUCAAACCUCAUAGUGUAGAAAAACAGUUAAAGUCGGAAGUUUACGUACACCUUAGCCAAAUACAUUUAAACUCAGUUUUUCACAAUUCCUGACAUUUAAUCCUAGUAAAGAUUCCCUGUGUUAGGUCAGUUAGGAUCACCACUUUAUUUUAAGAAUGUGAAAGGUCAGAAUAAUAGUAAAAAGAAUGAUUUAUUUCAGCUUUUAAUUCUUUCAUCACAUUCCCCGUGGGUCAGACGUUUACAUACACUCAAUUAGUAUUUGGUAUAUUUGCCUUUACAUUGUUUAACUUGGGUCAAAUGUUUCGGGUAGCCUUCCACAAGCUUCCCACAAUAAGUUGGGUGAAUUUUCUUCCAUUCCUCCUGACAAAGCUGGUGUAACUGAGUCAGGUUUGUAGGCUUCCUUGCUCGCACACGCUUUUUCAGUUCUGCCCACAAAUUGUCUAUUGGAUUAAGUCAGGUGUGAUGGUCACUCCAAUACCUUGACUUUGUUGUCCUUAAGCCAUUUUGUCACAACUUUGGAAUUAUGCUUGGGGUUAUUGUCCAUUUGGAAGACCCAUUUGCAACCAAGCUUUAACUUCCUGACUGAUGUCUUGAGAUGUUGCUUCAAUACAUCCACAUAAUUCUCCCUCUUCAUGAUGCCAUCUAUUUUGUGAAGUGCACCAGUCCCCCCUACAGCAAAGCACCCCCACAACAUGAUGCUGUCACCCCUGUUCUUCACGGUUGGGAUGGUGUCCUUCAGCUUGCAAGCAUCCCUCUUUUUCCUCCAAACAUAACAAUGGUCAUUUUGGCCAAACAGUUCUAUUUUUGUUUCAUGAGACCAGAGGACAUUUCUCCAAAAAGUACGAUCUUUGUCCCCAUGUGCAGUUGCAAACCGUAGUCUGGCUUUUUUAUGGCGGUUUUGGAGCAGUGGCUUCUUCCUUGCUGAGUGGCCUUUCAGGUUAUGUCAAUAUAGCACUCAUUUUACUAUGGAUAUAGAUACUUUUGUACCUGUUUCCUCCAGCAUCUUCACAAGGUCCUUUGCUGCUGUUCUGGGAUUGAUUUGCACUUUUCACACCAAAGUACAUACAUCUCUAGGAGACAGAACUUGCCUCCUUCCUGAGCGGUAUGACGGCUGCUUGGUCCCAUGGUGUUUAUACUUGUGUACUAUUGUUUGUACAG
rnacentral:lncRNA from 1 species